rnacentral:rRNA from 1 species
GAGGCAAUAACAGGUCUGUGAUGCCCUUAGAUGUUCUGGGCCGCACGCGCGCUACACUGAUACGUUCAACGAGCUCCUUGACCGAGAGGCCCGGGUAAUCUUUGAAACCGUAUCGUGAUGGGGAUAGAACUUGCAAUUAUUGUUCUUCAACGAGGAAUGCCUAGUAAGCGCGAGUCAUCAUCUCGCGUUGAUUACGUCCCUGCCCUUUGUACACACCGCCCGUCGCUCCUACCGAUUGAACGUGCUGGUGAAGCGUUAGGACUGGAGCUCUGGGCCGGUUCGCCUGCCCAUUGCUACGGGAAUUUCGUUGAACCCUCCCGUUUAGAGGAAGGAGAAGUCGUAACAAGGUCUCCGUAGGUGAACCUGCGGAGGGAUCAUUG